GAUGAACGCUGGCGGCGUGCGUAACACAUGCAAGUUGUACGACGGUGCCAUGAAGUGGUAACACGGAAUGGUAUACGGAGUAGCGGACGGGUGAGUAAAGCAUGAGGAGCUGUCCUGUUGAGGGGGAUAACGUUCGGAAACGGACCCUAAUACCCCAUAGGCCGAGAGGUUAAAGGCAGAGAUGCGCGACAGGAGGUACUCGUGUCCUAUCAGCUGGUUGGUGAGGUAACGGCUCACCAAGGCAACGACGGGUAGCCGGCCUGAGAGGGUGACCGGCCACACUGGAACUGAGACACGGUCCAGACUCCUACGGGAGGCAGCAGUGGGGAAUAUUGGGCAAUGGGAGGAAUCCUAGACCCAGCGACGCCGCGUGAACGAUGAAGGCCUUAGGGUUGUAAAGUUCUUUUAUGUGGGAAGAAGGAAGUGACGGUACCACAUGAAUAAGCCCCGGCUAACUACGUGCCAGCAGCCGCGGUAAUACGUAGGGGGCGAGCGUUGUCCGGAAUUACUGGGCGUAAAGGGCACGCAGGCUGUGAUUCAAGUCAGCUGUAAAAGGAUGCGGCUUAACCGUGUUUAGCAGUUGAAACUGGAUGACUGGAGUGCUGGAGAGGCAAGUGGAAUUCCCAGUGUAGCGGUGAAAUGCGUAGAUAUUGGGAAGAACAUCGGUGGCGAAGGCGACUUGCUGGCCAGUAACUGACGCUGAGGUGCGAAAGCCAGGGUAGCAAACGGGAUUAGAUACCCCGGUAGUCCUGGCUGUAAACGAUGAAUGCUAGGUGUGCGAGCAGAGAUGUUGGUGUGCCGCAGUUAACGCGAUAAGCAUUCCGCCUGGGGAGUACGGUCGCAAGAUUGAAACUCAAAGGAAUUGACGGGGGCCCGCACAAGCGGUGGAGCACGUGGUUUAAAUUCGAUGUAAACCGAAGAACCUUACCUGGGUU
rnacentral:rRNA from 1 species